CAGCCGCCGCGGUAAUACAGAGGGUGCGAGCGUUAAUCGGAUUUACUGGGCGUAAAGCGUGCGUAGGCGGCUUCUUAAGUCGGAUGUGAAAUCCCUGAGCUUAACUUAGGAAUUGCAUUCGAUACUGGGAAGCUAGAGUAUGGGAGAGGAUGGUAGAAUUCCAGGUGUAGCGGUGAAAUGCGUAGAGAUCUGGAGGAAUACCGAUGGCGAAGGCAGCCAUCUGGCCUAAUACUGACGCUCAGGUGCGAAAGCGUGGGGAGCAAACAGGAUUAGAUACCCCUGUAGUCCCUGUCUCUUAUAU
rnacentral:rRNA from 1 species